UUGUUGGUAAGGUAAAAGCUUACCAAGGCUUCGAUCAGUAGCUGGUCUGAGAGGACGACCAGCCACACUGGGACUGAGACACGGCCCAGACUCCUACGGGAGGCAGCAGUGGGGAAUUUUGGACAAUGGGGGCAACCCUGAUCCAGCCAUGCCGCGUGAGUGAAGAAGGCCUUCGGGUUGUAAAGCUCUUUCAGCCGGAACGAAACGGUUACGGAUAACACCCGUGACUACUGACGGUACCGGAAGAAGAAGCACCGGCUAACUACGUGCCAGCAGCCGCGGUAAUACGUAGGGUGCGAGCGUUAAUCGGAAUUACUGGGCGUAAAGCGUGCGCAGGUGGUUUUGUAAGUCAGAUGUGAAAGCCCCGGGCUCAACCUGGGAACUGCGUUUGAAACUACAAGACUAGAGUGUGGCAGAGGGGGGUGGAAUUCCGCGUGUAGCAGUGAAAUGCGUAGAGAUGUGGAGGAACACCGAUGGCGAAGGCAGCCCCCUGGGUCAACACUGACGCUCGGGCACGAAAGCAUGGGGAGCAAACAGGAUUAGAUACCCUGGUAGUCCAUGCCCUAAACGAUGUCAACUAGUUGUCGGGCCUUUACGGGCUUGGUAACGUAGCUAACGCGUGAAGUUGACCGCCUGGGGAGUACGAUCGCAAGAUUAAAACUCAAAUGAAUUGACGGGGACCCGCACAAGCGGUGGAUUAUGUGGAUUAAUUCGAUGCAACGCGAAAAACCUUACCUACCCUUGACAUGUAUCGAAGCCCGCAGAAAAGCGGGGGUGCCCGAAAGGGAACGAUAACACAGGUGCUGCAUGGCUGUCGUCAGCUCGUGUCGUGAGAUGUUGGGUUAAGUCCCGCAACGAGCGCAACCCUUGUCAUUAAUUGCCAUCAUUUAGUUGGGCACUUUAAUGAGACUGCCGG
rnacentral:rRNA from 1 species